rnacentral:lncRNA from 1 species
CACCACAGCCAUUAUUUAUUAGGGAUAAUCGCCUAUAUAUCCCUCAAAACUUCAAAAAUAUCUUAUUUAAUACUCUUAAUUUUUUUUCCUUUCAAUAUAUCCCUCAUAUGUUACUCAAUUAUUCUAAAAUACCGUACAGUUACAAUUCGUUAAGUUAACUUAGGUUAAACGUGAGCUAAAUAUCUACCAUAGUUAAAAAAAAAAAUAAAAUGCCACUUUUGCCCUUAACUUAAGAGCAAAUAAGAAAUGUUGGUGAUGGUAGAAGAGAAUAUUUGAAAAGAUGAAAAAGCAAAAUAUUUUUUUUGCCCCUAACUUAAGAGCAAAUAAGAAAAGUCGGUGAUGAUAGAAGGUAUGUUUGAAAGGGCAAAAAAGUAAUUUUAUAGAAAUAACAUAGUUCAUUAAUAGAUUUUAACUCUAGAGGUAUAUUUGAAAUAUGUUGGAACGUAAAAAGGAUAUUUUCCACAUUACCCUUCUAAGAGGGGUAAAUCAGAAAGUCGGAAACUUUUCUAUAAACAAUUGCCAUUAUCUAUUACUAUAUACUAAAGAUCGUGAAGGAUUCUUUAUUUGUGAACAUAUGUCC